rnacentral:rRNA from 1 species
UAGGGAAUCUUCGGCAAUGGACGAAAGUCUGACCGAGCAACGCCGCGUGAGUGAAGAAGGUUUUCGGAUCGUAAAACUCUGUUGUUAGAGAAGAACAAGGACGUUAGUAACUGAACGUCCCCUGACGGUAUCUAACCAGAAAGCCACGGCUAACUACGUGCCAGCAGCCGCGGUAAUACGUAGGUGGCAAGCGUUGUCCGGAUUUAUUGGGCGUAAAGCGAGCGCAGGCGGUUUCUUAAGUCUGAUGUGAAAGCCCCCGGCUCAACCGGGGAGGGUCAUUGGAAACUGGGAGACUUGAGUGCAGAAGAGGAGAGUGGAAUUCCAUGUGUAGCGGUGAAAUGCGUAGAUAUAUGGAGGAACUCCAGUGGCGAAGGCGGCUCUCUGGUCUGUAACUGACGCUGAGGCUCGAAAGCGUGGGGAGCAAACAGG